rnacentral:rRNA from 1 species
CCUACGGGGGGCUGCAGUGAGGAAUAUUGGUCAAUGGGCGCUAGCCUGAACCAGCCAAGUAGCGUGAAGGAUGACUGCCCUAUGGGUUGUAAACUUCUUUUAUAUGGGAAUAAAGUGCAGUAUGUAUACUGCUUUGCAUGUACCUUAUGAAUAAGGAUCGGCUAACUCCGUGCCAGCAGCCGCGGUAAUACGGAGGAUCCGAGCGUUAUCCGGAUUUAUUGGGUUUAAAGGGAGCGUAGGCGGGUUGUUAAGUCAGUUGGGAAAGUUUGCGGCUCAACCGUAGAAGUGCAGUUGAUACUGGCAGCCUUGAGUACGGUAGAGGUAGGCGGAAUGCGUGGUGUAGCGGUGAAAUGCUUAGAUAUCACGAAGAACUCCGAUUGCGAAGGCAGCCUGCUGGACUGUAACUGACGCUGAGGCUCGAAAGUGUGGGUAUCAAACAGGAUUAGAUACCCGUGUAGUC